AGAAAAUGGCUCAUAAAAAGGACGAGGACUUGAAUGGUUUUUACAAGUUGGAAUGUAAAAUUACGGUAUUUGAUGUGAAAUGUUAAC